GAGAAAUGAUGAACAUGUGAACAUUCUUCAUGCCAAGGUGAAGACGUAAGAUCCAACUCUGAGCUCACCCUGCU